rnacentral:rRNA from 1 species
GAUGAACGCUGGCGGCGUGCCUAAUACAUGCAAGUCGAGCGAACGGACGAGAAGCUUGCUUCUCUGAUGUUAGCGGCGGACGGGUGAGUAACACGUGGAUAACCUACCUAUAAGACUGGGAUAACUUCGGGAAACCGGAGCUAAUACCGGAUGAUAUUUUGAACCGCAUGGUUCAAAAGUGAAAGACGGUCUUGCUGUCACUUAUAGAUGGAUCCGCGCUGCAUUAGCUAGUUGGUAAGGUAACGGCUUACCAAGGCAACGAUGCAUAGCCGACCUGAGAGGGUGAUCGGCCACACUGGAACUGAGACACGGUCCAGACUCCUACGGGAGGCAGCGGUAGGGAAUCUUCCGCAAAGGGCGAAAGCCUGACGGAGCAACGCCGCGUGAGUGAUGAAGGUCUUCGGAUCGUAAAACUCUGUUAUUAGGGAAGAACAUAUGUGUAAGUAACUGUGCACAUCUUGACGGUACCUAAUCAGAAAGCCACGGCUAACUACGUG